UACGUAGGUCCCGAGCGUUGUCCGGAUUUAUUGGGCGUAAAGCGAGCGCAGGCGGUUUGGUAAGUCAGAAGUAAAAGGCUGUGGCUCAACCGUAGUGCGCGUUUGAAACUGUCAAACUUGAGUGCAGAAGGGGGGAGUGGAAUUCCAUGUGUAGCGGUGAAAUGCGUAGAUAUAUGGAGGAACACCGGUGGCGAAAGCGGCGCUCUGGUCCGUAACUGACGCUGAGGCACGAAAGCGUGGGGAGCGAACAGG
rnacentral:rRNA from 1 species